GUUCCUGUAUUUCAACGGAUAGAAUAAGGCCCUCCGAAGGCUUUGAUGGCAGUUCAAUUCUGCCCGGGAACA
rfam:Microgenomates (Roizmanbacteria) bacterium GW2011_GWC2_34_23 TR56_C0001, whole genome shotgun sequence.